rnacentral:tRNA from 1 species
CGCGGGAUGGAGCAGCUCGGUAGCUCGUCGGGCUCAUAACCGAGUGGUCGUAGGUUCAAAUCCUGCUCCCGCAA